rnacentral:piRNA from 1 species
UCCUUGGGUAAACUGCAGUUUGAGGU